rnacentral:rRNA from 1 species
CCUACGGGAGGCAGCAGUGGGGAAUCUUGCGCAAUGGGCGAAAGCCUGACGCAGCCAUGCCGCGUGAAUGAUGAAGGUCUUAGGAUUGUAAAAUUCUUUCACCGGGGACGAUAAUGACGGUACCCGGAGAAGAAGCCCCGGCUAACUUCGUGCCAGCAGCCGCGGUAAUACGAAGGGGGGCUAGCGUUGCUCGGAAUUACUGGGCGUAAAGGGAGCGUAGGCGGAUAGUUUAGUCAGAGGUGAAAGCCCAGGGCUCAACCUUGGAAUUGCCUUUGAUACUGGCUAUCUUGAGUAUGGGAGAGGUUAGCGGAACUCCGAGUGUAGAGGUGAAAUUCGUAGAUAUUCGGAAGAACACCAGUGGCGAAGGCGGCUAACUGGCCCAUUACUGACGCUGAGGCUCGAAAGCGUGGGGAGCAAACAGGAUUAGAUACCCUGGUAAUCCACGCCGUAAACGAUGAGUGCUAGUUGUCGGCAUGCAUGCAUGUCGGUGACGCAGCUACGACAUAAGACACUCCGCCGUCGGGAGGUACGGGUCGGCGAAGAAGUUAAAACGUUAAAAGUUAAGUAAGUUAGUUACGGUACGUUGAGACGUUGCCGACGGACGACGACGAGGGAGGAGG